rnacentral:rRNA from 1 species
GAUCAUGGCUCAGAUUGAACGCUGGCGGCAGGCCUAACACAUGCAAGUCGAACGGUAACAGGAAACAGCUUGCUGUUUCGCUGACGAGUGGCGGACGGGUGAGUAAUGUCUGGGAAACUGCCUGAUGGAGGGGGAUAACUACUGGAAACGGUAGCUAAUACCGCAUAACGUCGCAAGACCAAAGAGGGGGACCUUCGGGCCUCUUGCCAUCAGAUGUCGCCCAGAUGGGAUUAGCGUAGUAGGGG